CUCAUUAUCAUUUGGGUUCACGUAUACCAUUGCUCAUUUAGUUGUUCCUUAAUGUUUCCGUAAAUUCCCCCAAAUCUGAGCUAUAAUUAUUAUUUUUAGAUCAGUUUCACUACAAUAUUUUAGUUUUUUCUUUUCCUAUCCGAUUCAUGUUUUGCCGACUGGGAAAACAAUUUGCCGACUGGGAUACAAUAAUUUGCCGACUACCUGACGGGGUGUUCCACCCCCACCCCCUCCUCUAGCGCCGCCCCUGCGAAGAGAACACUACAUUAUCAAAACAACAGUUUGCCAUUUUUGGCAAUUAACUGAAGUUAGUACUCCAGUUAUAUUCACGGAUAUAUGGCGCUCAACUGGUCAUAAUUAGACCGAGCCUCUGAGUUUGAGUCCCUUGUGUAUCUUCAUUCCCUCCGUGCGUAAAAUCUUGUUUUUCCAGUAAAAGAUUAAGCAGUUAAAUGUCGAAUUCAUCGAGAAUAUGGUAUUACU